UUAAGGCUACGUUGUACGUACGAAUAUUAAGUUUUAACCUUUAUGCUUAUACAGGGAGUUUUACAUCGAAGUACGAAUGGCGCGCCCAGGUUUUUAACUUGGGAUAGACAGGAAUACUUUUGCGAACACCCACUUUGAGGAGUGGUGGUUUAAAACUUUCUAUAAUAACUACGGCAAUGUGGCUUUAUU
rnacentral:other from 1 species